AUCCUGGGUCCGCAGCAGGACCCAAGGGCGCGCCUGUUCGGCGAUCAAAGGGGAAUGCGAGAUGGGUUUAGACCGUCGCGAGACAGGUCGGACUCUACCUGCUGGGACUGUUGGUUGCCUGAGGGGAAGGCGCCCCUAGUACGAGAGGAACGGGGUAUCGCAGCCUCUAGUUUACCGGUUGUUCGACAGGGCACUGCCGGGCAGCCACGCUGUCGGGGAUAAGGGCUGAAAGCAUCUAAGCCCGAAACCCCUCCCGAAAAUAGGCAACCGUUCCGGCCCACUU
rnacentral:rRNA from 1 species